rnacentral:tRNA from 1 species
GCCCGGAUGGCGGAACAGGCAGACGCAGCGGACUUAAAAUCCGCCGCCCCUUAUCAGGGCGUACCGGUUCGAACCCGGUUCCGGGCACCA